GACGGAGGAUGCAAGUGUUAUCCGGAAUCACUGGGCGUAAAGCGUCUGUAGGUGGUUUAAAAAGUCCACUGUUAAAAAUUGAAGCUUAACUUCAAAGAUGCCGUGGAAACUUUUAAACUUGAGUAUGGUAGGGGUAGAGGGAAUUUCCAGUGGAGCGGUGAAAUGCGUAGAUAUUGGAAAGACCACCAAUGGCGAAGGCACUCUACUGGGCCAUUACUGACACUGAGAGACGAAGGCUAGGGGAGCAAAUGGG
rnacentral:rRNA from 1 species